rnacentral:rRNA from 1 species
UACGUAGGGUGCAAGCGUUAUCCGGAAUUAUUGGGCGUAAAGAGCUCGUAGGCGGUUUGUCGCGUCUGCUGUGAAAACUGGAGGCUCAACCUCCAGCCUGCAGUGGGUACGGGCAAACUAGAGUGCGGUAGGGGAGAUUGGAAUUCCUGGUGUAGCGGUGGAAUGCGCAGAUAUCAGGAGGAACACCGAAGGGGAAGGCAGAACCCUGGGCCGUAACUGACGCUGAGGAGCGAAAGCAUGGGGAGCAAACAGG